rnacentral:lncRNA from 1 species
ACAAUGUAUUUAUAGUGUAUAGUUGGUAUACAAUUGGGCAAUGAUGAUAAAACCUACAUUUGAGCUUUUCCCGAGCCCAAUACCGAGAGUCAUAUCUGAGCCCAGAUAUGUGACGCAUCUGUGACCCGUCCAUUCUUUAUUAUAAUGGGUCAAUGACCCGACCCACGUGUGUAAAUAUAAAUACAGGGGUCACCGACUUAUGUGACCCCCGGACUUCAUUUCUUUAUUUUGUUUUCUCUGUUAAUGUGAUAUUUUCUCUCUGGUAUUCCAGAGUCUUCUCACCUACUCUCCUCCUUCUCUCUACUUUCUCUCUCUAUAAUCUGUAUGAUUCUCUCGUAUAAUCUUGAUAUUAACAU